GUUGACUUUCAGGACGAGCCAAGUAACGAGGGUCCUCCAAUUCCUUCCUCACCUCUCAGUAUAAAAUCCCCACCACAACCAUCCAAGGUCUCUCACUCAGCUCGCCGCUCUACCGCUGCUUGCCUAUCAUCAGCUCAGGUCGGCACCAGAGUCCAGACUCGCAGCAGCUCAGUUAGCCAAGUGUUGUGUUGUGUGGUAGCUAGCUAGGCGGCGAGAGCUAAGAACGAAGUACGGCGCCCGGCGCUGCCCUCCUCUUCGUUUCGAAGGCGACGGCGAAGAUCGAUGGCGGAGUACGGCCGGAGCUGCUCCCAGAAGAGGAAGCCCGUUCUCGCUCUCCUCGUAUCACUGCUGGCGUGCCUUCUUCUGCUUGCCCCCCUCGUCUCCUCCGUGCCGCUGUCCAGAAGCGUGUCCUUGGGGAAUAACCAUCAAGCCUCACCCUCGGCUCUGGAAGUGCCUGUUCAGGGCGUGGUUACAGCUGCAGAGAGAAGCAACCUCGGCGAGGCGGCGGCGAGGAUGGACAUCGAGGUCAACGACUACCCUGGAUCCGGCGCCAACAACCGCCAUGAUCCUCCCAGGAGCCCCGGGAGAGGGUGAAGUCCCACGCAUAGCUGCACUGCAGAACCUCGAUGUAUAUAGUGAAGAAAGUUUAGUGCUGGAUUUGUAGGUGGUGCUACUUGAAGUCGAUCGGGAUCAGGCCUUUGUUUGUUAACUACUGAACUCUGGAUUAAGGAAAGAAAAACUUCUCUAGCUAGUUCAGUUCGGCCGGUACUCGGGAGACUUAUCUCCUAGCUCCUCGACUGUAAAAGGCGCGCCGAAAGCAGAUCUAGAAAAACUUUGAGCUCUCUCUCAAUCGCACGUC